AAUGAACGCUGGCGGCGUGGAUUAGGCAUGCAAGUCGAGCGAGAAGAGUUUGGUAGCUUGCUAUUGAACUCGGACAGCGGCGAAAGGGAGAGUAACGCGUAGUUACGUGCCCCAGGGUUCGGAAUAGCCACGGGAAACUGUGGGUAAUGCCGAAUAACAUCUCCGGAUCAAAGGUGUGAUUCCGCCCUGGGAGCGGACUGCGUCCUACUAGCUAGUUGGCGGGGUAAUGGCCCACCAAGGCGACAAUGGGUAGCGGGUGUGAGAGCAUGACCCGUCUCACUGGGACUGAGACACUGCCCAGACACCUACGGGUGGCUGCAGUCGAGAAUCUUCGGCAAUGGGCGAAAGCCUGACCGAGCGACGCCGCGUGCGGGAUGAAGGCCCUCGGGUUGUAAACCGCUGUCGUAGGGGAGGAAGGCUCCGUGAAGAACGGGGUUUGACCUAGCCUAGGAGGAAGUACGGGCUAAGUUCGUGCCAGCCGCCGCGGUAA
rnacentral:rRNA from 1 species